rnacentral:rRNA from 1 species
UACGGAGGGGGCUAGCGUUGUUCGGAAUUACUGGGCGUAAAGCGCGUGUAGGCGGUCCGGUAAGUCCGCUGUGAAAGUCGGGGGCUCAACCCUCGAAUGCCGGUGGAUACUGUCGGGCUAGAGUGCGGAAGAGGCGAGUGGAAUUCCUGGUGUAGCGGUGAAAUGCGUAGAUAUCAGGAGGAACACCGGUGGUGUAGACGGCUCUCUGGACCGUAACUGACGCUGAGACACGAAAGCGUGGGUAGCAA